GUGGGGAAUCUUGCGCAAUGGGCGAAAGCCUGACGCAGCCAUGCCGCGUGGAUGAUGAAGGUCUUAGGAUUGUAAAAUCCUUUCACCGGUGAAGAUAAUGACUGUAGCCGGAGAAGAAGCCCCGGCUAACUUCGUGCCAGCAGCCGCGGUAAUACGAAGGGGGCUAGCGUUGCUCGGAUUUACUGGGCGUAAAGGGCGCGUAGGCGGACAUUUAAGUCAGGGGUGAAAUCCCGGGGCUCAACCUCGGAACUGCCUUUGAUACUGGGUGUCUUGAGUAUGAGAGAGGUGUGUGGAACUCCGAGUGUAGAGGUGAAAUUCGUAGAUAUUCGGAAGAACGCCAGUGGCGAAGGCGACACACUGGCUCAUUACUGACGCUGAGGCGCGAAAGCGUGGGGAGCAAACAGGAUUAGAAACCCUAGUAGUCC
rnacentral:rRNA from 1 species